ACUUUCCUCUCCUUCAACUGUUGUUCAAUUCCUAUAUUUUCAAAGAUCCAAAUAUUUUGAAAAAUAUAUGCAUCAAUUAUGAGUUCAGAGAAAAAAUUAGCUAACGCGAUGGGCGCGAAAACGGCUAGGGCUUGCGACAAUUGCAUAAGGAAAAGGGCAAGAUGGUAUUGUGCAGCCGAUGAUGCUUUCUUGUGUCAAUCUUGUGAUUCUUCCGUCCAUUCGGCCAAUCCUUUGGCUCGUAGACAUGAA
rnacentral:misc_RNA from 1 species